AAGCACCCCAUUACAACGCAGCUGGUGCAUCACCAGAGGAUUCUCCAUGGCCCCAGGAGUCUUGGUCUCAUUGGGGAUGAUGCAGCGUACAAAGUGAGGACUAUAGACCUCAGUGUGGACUGAGUACUACUUGUCUUCUGAUGAGGCAAUGAUCAGGACUUGGCAAAAUAACAGAAAGGAGGAUACUACCCCUAAAUACACCAGAUCUAGAUUAUCUGCUGUCAGAAAUCUGCCUCUAUUCUGUAUCCCAAAUGGCCUUCCCAUGCUUGGCUUUGAAAACAGCAUGCUUCUACAGAAGAGAUGACCUCCACCACUGAUAUGAAGAGGAUCCUGUUGGGGAAGCCCUUUCUGCAGAUCCUGAUGCCUUCGAGCACCCCAUUACAACGCAGCUGGUGCAUCACCAGAGGAUUCUCCAUGGCCCCAGGAGUCUUGGUCUCAUUGGGGAUGAUGCAGCGUACAAAGUGAGGCUCAGAGCCAUGGCCAAACUCCUCUAAGGCUUACAUGUUAAGCUGCUGACACAGAGAGGAACAGCACAAAGAUAUGUAAAACCAUUGAAGGACACAGACAUAUGAGAUCAAGGUCAGCAUUCAGUGGUAGACAAAUGUCAAACUGAUAUCCACUCUUCACUUGGCUCCUUCCUGCCUUCCUCCUGUGUAUCAGUCCUUCUUUUGUGCUGCUGCAGCUGCAUGAGCCUACUUUGGAGACAAAGGGGACUACAGCACAGGAGAUCCCAAAGCUCUUAGGUGGCCGUCUGUGAGUUUCACUCCUCAUCUAGCCCUUUCUGUGAUGAAGAAUGAUAGAGAGCAGAAAAAGAAACAGAUUAGAGACAGAAGACCAACAAGACUCAACAGGUGUUACAAGUGUUACAAGAGAAACUGGAUUUUACAAGAUGUUACACGAUGUUACAAGUGAAUGUUUUUUUUAAUGUCAGUAUGUCUUCACUGUAGUAAAUUUGGUUGUGUCUAAUUGUUUUUGAAAGAAUUUGAAAAGUGAUGUAUCACUGAAUGCAUUUGGAGGAAAGUUAAGAUCAUAUAUAUUUUAUAUAUCAAAUAUUAAAAAUCAUAUUAAAACUGAAGAGCCAAGCCCA